GACGAACGCUGGCGGCGUGCUUAACACAUGCAAGUCGUGCGGAAAGGCUCCUUCGGGGGUGCUCGAGCGGCGAACGGGUGAGUAACACGUGAGUAACCUGCCCUUGGCUUUGGGAUAACCCUCGGAAACGGGGGCUAAUACCGGAUAUUCACUUACCUUCGCAUGGGGGUGGGUGGAAAGGGUUUCUGGCUGGGGAUGGGCUCGCGGCCUAUCAGCUUGUGGGGGGGGUGAUGGCCUACCAAGGCGGUGACGGGUAGCCGGCCUGAGAGGGCGAUCGGCCACACUGGGACUGAGACACGGCCCAGACUCCUACGGGAGGCAGCAGUGGGGAAUAUUGCACAAUGGGCGCAAGCCUGAUGCAGCGACGCCGCGUGGGGGAUGACGGCCUUCGGGUUGUAAACCUCUUUCACCCAUGACGAAGCGUUUGUGACGGUAGUGGGGGAAGAAGCGCUGGCCAACUACGUGCCAGCAGCCGCCGUAACAC
rnacentral:rRNA from 1 species